GACANGACAGCCNGGCAACACUGCUAAACAUUAAUUAGGUGAAGUUNGCCAANUGGUAUAAAGAUAAAAAAUGGUGUAAUCUACGAUAGUAUUCUUAUUUAAGAUGAAUGUCAGCNUUUAUCCUUUCGGNUCUUGNGGUUUACAAUGCAACAUCNGCUUACCUGUUUGUAAGUGCCACUUGGUAUAAUCGAAAAUCUUGCAUUCUUCCGACAAACUGCUCUAAACCUGCNAAUACACACNUGUGCAUAAUAUAAGAAGUCUCUGUUUACCAAGCGAUACCUGACNAGUAUUUAAGUGAGAUUCCUUUGAAGAUGUUAAGGUNAAAAAGAUAUUUAUGUCNCUGCCCUUUGAAACUUUUACNGAUCANUCUCUAGUUUGCUAAUUCCACAUUAAUAACAAAAAUAAUCAUAGUUAUCUCCAUGGACACUGNAGGACUUAAGUCAAAGUGAANACUUUGGCCAGCCUAUUUACUGAUCGAACUCAUGGCU
rnacentral:rRNA from 1 species